CUAGUGUUUGAGGAGUAAAACGUAUCUGCCUGCAAGCAUCUCCAUCUACUAGCGCGCAAUAACUGAAAUGGCACAUUUUGCCUAAGGCGGUUUUUGCAAUGGCAUAAUGCAUGACGAUAGACGUAAUUUGGCUUUAAUGCCAGGGAGAUGUUUAAAUAUAAAACUAUUGGGGAGAAAGACGAGAACACUACAGAACUGAGAGGAUCUGCGGGCGCCCUGAAUAUGCGACAGUUUUAUUUAAGAGCCUAUCAUUUAAAUAGGUUUAUGGACAUUCACAGUAUCAUUUUAUCAAAACGUUACAUGUAUGUUUUUUUAGGACGAACGUAGCCAAUUUUCACACUCCUAAAUCCGAUGAGUGAGUUAUGACAAUUGGGAGCAAGAUUAAACCGAACACUGCUACCCAUGCAGCAGACCAGACUGCUUGCUCUCCGUUGGAAUAAAACUGCGAUGUUUGCGUGUGAAAUAAGAAACAGUGGAUCUCAUUUUCACCUUGAACUGAGAUGUGGCGAGAUAGAAAGGGCUGCUCUAUUAUAACAUAAUCCUUGCCCUGCAGGCGUUUGAAUAGCCCAGAGCAAGAAUUCUUCUAGCCCGCUUCUUAUUUAGGGACCGACUGGCUUUCUUCUCAUAAAACUCGACGGUUUCAUCAUAUCAGAAAAGGAAAGACCCGGACAAAGACAGAUAUACAGCAAACGACGACCAAACUGGCAUAAAACAGCGAUACAAUUGGAAGGGAGAAGAGAUUACUAUGUCUUCUCUAUCCGUGUCCUCCCAGGAGGGAAGAAGCAUGUCCAGGAUGUCUAUGAGUCGUUCUCCAGUUUCUCCAAUGAAUGCCCAGGGCAUCCCAUCACCGGCCCAGCUGACUAAAGCCAACGCCCCGGUCCACAUCGACGUGGGAGGACACAUGUACACCAGCAGCCUGGGUACUCUCACCAAAUACCCAGAGUCUAGAAUCAGUCGUCUGUUUAACGGAACAGAGCCCAUUGUACUGGACAGCUUGAAGCAGCACUACUUCAUCGACAGGGAUGGAGAUAUAUUCAGAUACAUCCUCAGCUUCCUCAGGACCUGCAAACUACUGCUCCCAGAGGACUUCAAGGACUUCUCCCAGCUAUACGAGGAGGCUCGCUAUUACCAACUGACACCCAUGGUCCGCGAGCUGGAGCGCUGGCAGACGGAGCAGGAGGGCCAGAAGAGACCGCCCUGCGAGUGCCUGGUGGUCCGAGUGACCCCUGACCUGGGGGAGAGGAUUGCCCUCAGCGGAGGGAAGGUGCUCAUCGAAGAGAUCUUCCCCGAGACUGGAGACGUCAUGUGUAACUCUGUGAAUGCCGGCUGGAACCACGACCCCACGCAUGUAAUCCGAUUCCCUCUCAACGGCUACUGCAGGCUCAACUCAGUUCAGGUUCUGGAGAGGUUGUUCCAGAAGGGUUUCAGCGUGACGGCGUCAUGUGGCGGCGGAGUUGACUCCUCCCAGUUCAGCGAGUACGUCCUGUGUCGCGAGCUCCGCAGGGGUCAGCCCACCGACACCACCAUCCACAUCAAACAAGAGCCUCUGGACUAGGUUGGGAGGAACAGAGGGACCUGUGACAGAUCAACACGUCCGGUGCUGAUUUUCGAGUCCUAUUUACACAACUUUAACAGUGGAAAAACACACAAGGACUCUUCCUGCUUGGGAAUAUAAUUUGCCAGUGGCAAUGUAGACUGGACUAGCAAGAUGUGAGAGGGUUGUGAUUCUAUGGAGAGUCAACGACACGAAAGGGAUCCUCUGAGAUGAGUCUGUCUGAGGACAAUGACCCAACACACCUUCAGGCUGUGUAAGGGCACUUUGACCAAGGAGAGUGAUGGAGGGCUGCAUCAGAUGACCUGGCCUCCAAUCACCCGACCUCAACCCAAUUGCUUGGGAUGAUUUCGAGCGCAGAGUUAAGGAAAAGAAGACAACAAGUGGUCAGCAUAUGUGGGAACUCCUUGAAGCUGGUUGAGAGAAUGCCAAGAGUGUGCAAAACUGUCAAAGGGUGACUACUUUUGAAGAAUCUCAAAUAUUUGUAACACUUUUUUUGGUUACAUGAUUCCAUUGUUUUGAUGUCUUCACUAUUCUACAAUGUAGAAAAGUCAAAAUAAAAACCUUUUGAAUGAGUAGGUGUCAACUUUUGACUGGUACUAAUGUAAAACUUUCCUGACAAAUGUUCAUGAUGUGAAAACUGGGAUUUUGUAUGUGGUGCACAUUUCACAGAUUUAACUGCAAUUUCAGUUAAUAUUUAAGGUAUGUUUGCUUAGUCAUUUUUGUUUGUGCAGCUAUAUUGAUAACUGUUUUUGUUUUACUAUUCUCUCGUGGACAGCCAAGUAGCUGGGAGAUUUUGGUUCUGGGUUGCCAAACUCAACCUGGCACAAAGUGCCUUCAGAAAGUAUUCAGACCCCUGGACUUUUCCCAAAUUUUGUUACGUUACAGCCUUAUUCUAAUAUGGAUAAAAUCAUCCACCCCACCCCCCCUCAAUCAACACACAAUACCCCACAAUGAAAUAACAAAAACAGGUUGUCUCAUAGCAAAGGGGCUGAAUACUAAUGUAAAUAAGGUAUGUUUUUAUUUAAUACAUUUGCAGUAAAAA